GGCGGACGGGUGAGUAACGACGUAAAGAACUUGCCCUUUAGACUGGGAUAACAGAGGGAAACUUCUGAUAAUACUGGAUAAGUUAGUAUAUCGCAUGAUAUGCAAAUGAAAGCUACGGCACUAAAGGAGAGCUUUGCGUCCUAUUAGCUAGUUGGUAAGGUAAGAGCUUACCAAGGCGAUGAUAGGUAGCCGGCCUGAGAGGGUGGACGGCCACAAGGGGACUGAGAUACGGCCCUUACUCCUACGGGAGGCAGCAGC
rnacentral:rRNA from 1 species